rnacentral:rRNA from 1 species
GAUGAACGCUGGCGGCGUGCCUAAUACAUGCAAGUCGAGCGAACGGACGAGAAGCUUGCUUCUCUGAUGUUAGCGGCGGACGGGUGAGUAACACGUGGAUAACCUACCUAUAAGACUGGGAUAACUUCGGGAAACCGUAGCUAAUACCGGAUAAUAUUUUGAACCGCAUGGUUCAAAAGUGAAAGACGGUCUUGCUGUCACUUAUAGAUGGAUCCGCGCUGCAUUAGCUAGUUGGUAAGGUAACGGCUUACCAAGGCAACGAUGCAUAGCCGACCUGAGAGGGUGAUCGGCCACACUGGAACUGAGACACGGUCCAGACUCCUACGGGAGGCAGCAGUAGGGAAUCUUCCGCAAUGGGCGAAAGCCUGACGGAGCAACGCCGCGUGAGUGAUGAAGGUCUUCGGAUCGUAAAACUCUGUUAUUAGGGAAGAACAUAUGUGUAAGUAACUGUGCCCAUCUUGACGGUACCUAAUCAGAAAGCCACGGCUAACUACGUG